rnacentral:misc_RNA from 1 species
GGGAAGUGAAAUCGUGGAGUUGCUGAGCCCAUGAGGGAUCGUAGAGCUUGUGGAUGAUGCAGUGGAAAGGGGAUUGGUCUAUUAGAGGGAGAAGAGGGUCAAUUCGUACAAGGUCGAUGCCAUGGAGUUUGGCAUAGUCGACGAGAGAAGGGAGGAUGAAGGAACGCUCCUUUUUGAGGGAAAGGGCAUAGCCAAUUCGGAAGCGUGGGGAAGACAUGGAUGGGGAAGAUGGGAAAAUGGAGGAAGACAUGGAUGGGGAAGUGGGAAUUGGCAGAGAGGUGAAGAGGGAAAUGAGAGUUUAU